UACGGAGGGUGCAAGCGUUGUCCGGAUUUAUUGGGUUUAAAGGGUGCGUAGGUGGCCUGUUAAGUCCGGGGUGAAAGCCCACAGCUCAACUGUGGAACUGCCAUGGAUACUGAUGGGCUUGAGUACAGACGAGGUAGGCGGAAUGGAUGCUGUAGCGGUGAAAUGCAUAGAUAGCAUCCAGAACCCCGAUUGCGUAGGCAGCUUACUAGGCUGUAACUGACGCUGAGGCACGAAAGCGUGGGGAGCGAACAGG
rnacentral:rRNA from 1 species